rnacentral:rRNA from 1 species
CCAGCAACUUGGAGGAAUGUAUAGCAAUAGCUAUUUGUGUAUAUAAUACGCAAAAUCAACUAUGUUGAAUAAAGUUCUGGUUAGAUUUUGAUAAUGACAUCAUCUAACCAUGUGUCUUGACCAAAUUACGUGCCAGCAGUCGCGGUAAUACGUAGAAGACUAGUGUUAUUCAUCUUUAAUAGGUUUAAAGGGUACCUAGACGGCAAAUCAAGCCAUAGUAGGGACUAAUUUGCUAGAGUUAAGUAUAUAAGGGGGCAUAAAAGUACUAAUGGUGUAGAGAUAAAAUUUUAAAAUACCUUUUUUAUAAGAACGGUAUUGGAAACGAUACUGGGAAUGGAAACAAUGGCACUGGUAAAGGCGAAGGCAUCCCCCUAUGUGUUAACUGACGUUGAAGGACGAAGGCUCUGGGGAGCGAGAAGGAUUAGAUACCCUAAUAGUCGGAGCAGAAAAUGAUGAGUGUCAUAGAAUAGAUAAUAUGGUUUAUUCUAUAAAUGAAAGUGUAAGCACUCCACCUCAAGAGUAAUGUGGCAACAUAGGAACUGAAAUCAUUAGACCGUUUCUGAAACCAGUAGUGAAGUAUGUUGUUUAAUUUGAUAAUCCGCAAAAAACCUUACCACAACUUGAAUAUAUACAUCGAUGAUGUAUUUACAAGCAUUGCACGGCUGUCUUCAGUUAAUGUCGUGAGACUUUGGUUAGAUCCAUUAAAUUAACGCAAACCCUUGCUUUAUUUUUAAAUAAAGUAGUUCCCCAUUAUAUUGGAUAUGAUAACAGGGACUAAGACAAGUCAUCAUGG